GCGAAAAUAUGGUAAAGGAAAACUAAUUUUUGGAAGUGUUACAGCUCAAGAUCUUGUUGACAUUAUCAAGGCGCAGCUUCAAAGGGAGGUGGACAAGAGAAUUGUCGAACUUCUAGAGAUACAUGAAACCGGAGAAUAUAUCGCAGAGUUAAAGCUUUAUCCGGAAGUUACAGUGAGAAUAAGGUUGAAUGUCUUUGCUAACUAAAGCACGAGUAUGAAGUUCUAUAUGCUAAUAAUGCACAUUUGGAGCUACCGGCUUGCAUUAGUUCAAGGUGAAUAACCACUGUAUGAAUCUUCAAACAUCAAGCUUUAUGUGACUUUUUCCCAAAGU